ACCAGGAGACACCACCACAUUUUCACUAAGGCACUGUGAAAAUGCAGCUGACCUGAUGCCAUUGAGGGACAUCCCACUCAGAGUUUGGGUAUUGGAUCUGUGGAGAGCAACAGAGUCUCUGCUCCUGAAAAAGCACUCAGUGGCCACCAAAAGGUGCAGGAGGAAACCGUUUUGCAGGGCUCAUCUGCAUGAGAAACCCGGGCAGCUGGGAAACACCGACAUACGGCUUGGGGGGAGACCCACGCAGACACUGGAGGAGAAAAAUAUUCCAUACAUCGGCUUUCUAUACCACCACCUUCAAAAAGGAAGCUAAACUCAGGAAUUCUGAGUAGCAUCUCCUCUGGAUGGCUGGACUGAGCUAAGGCUUCACAGAAACUUGAAGCUGAGACUCCUUAGACAAAAAAUUCCAUCUGGCUUUACAGGCCAUCCCUGCAUUUCCAGCACAGGAGGGCAAUGGAGACAGAGGCACCUCCACCCAAAACAUUCCCUUCAGAACCAUUUCCUGAGCUCAGUGAAGAUGAGCAACAGAGGGCAUGGGCAUCCUUCCAUCUGCUCCCGCUCUGGAGCAAAG